rnacentral:rRNA from 1 species
UACGAAGGGGGCUAGCGUUGUUCGGAUUUACUGGGCGUAAAGCGCACGUAGGCGGACUUUUAAGUCAGAGGUGAAAUCCCAAGGCUCAACCUUGGAACUGCCUUUGAUACUGGAAGUCUUGAGUAUGGUAGAGGUUGGUGGAACUGCGAGUGUAGAGGUGAAAUUCGUAGAUAUUCGCAAGAACACCAGUGGCGAAGGCGGCCAACUGGACCAUUACUGACGCUGAGGUGCGAAAGCGUGGGGAGCAAACAGGG